AUUGAACGCUGGCGGCAGGCUUAACACAUGCAAGUCGAGCGGUAGCACAAGAGAGCUUGCUCUCUGGGUGACGAGCGGCGGACGGGUGAGUAAUGUCUGGGAAACUGCCUGAUGGAGGGGGAUAACUACUGGAAACGGUAGCUAAUACCGCAUAACGUCGCAAGACCAAAGAGGGUGACCUUCGUGCCUCUUGCCAUCAGAUGUUCCCAGAUGGGAUUAGCUAGUAGGUGGGGUAAUGGCUCACCUAGGCGACGAUCCCUAGCUGGUCUGAGAGGAUGACCAGCCACACUGGAACUGAGACACGGUCCAGACUCCUACGGGAGGCAGCAGUGGGGAAUAUUGGACAAUGGGCGCAAGCCUGAUGCAGCCAUGCCGCGUGUGUGAAGAAGGCCUUCGGGUUGUAAAGCACUUUCAGCGAGGAGGAAGGUGGUGAACUUAAUACGUUCAUCAAUUGACGUUACUCGCAGAAGAAGCACCGGCUAACUCCGUG
rnacentral:rRNA from 1 species